GUAAUACGUAGGGGGCUAGCGUUGUCCGGAAUUACUGGGCGUAAAGGGAGUGUAGACGGCUUGGCAAGUUAUAAGUGAAAGCCUGCGGCUCAACCGCAGAACUGCUUAUAAAACUGCCUCGCUAGAGUGCAGGAGAGGUGAGUGGAAUUCCUAGUGUAGCGGUGGAAUGCGUAGAUAUUAGGAGGAACACCAGAGGCGAAGGCGGCUCACUGGACUGUAACUGACGUUGAGGCUCGAAAGCGUGGGGAGCAAACAGGAUUAGAUAUCCUGGUAGUCCACGCCCUAAACGAUGGAUACUAGACGAAGGUGGCUUGCCCAUCUGUGUCGUAGCUAACGCAUUAAGUAUCCCGCCUGUGGAGUACGGCCGCAAGGUUAAAACAUAAAGAAAUUGACGGGUCCCCGCACAAGCAGCGGAGCAUGUGGUUUAAUUCGAUGCAACGCGAAGAACCUUACCAAGACUUGACAUUGCGUGACAGCCUGUGAAAGCAGGCCUCCCUUCGGGGCACAAAAACAGAUGGUGCAUGGUCGUCGUCAGCUCGUGCCGUGAGGUGUUCGGUUAAGUCCGUCAACGAGCGCAACCCUUAUUUCCAGUUGCCAAUAUUAAGUUAGGGACUCUGGAAAGACUGCCGUGGAUAACACGGAGGAAGGUGGGGAUGAUGUCAGAUCAUCAUGCCUCUUACGUCUUGGGCUACACACGUGCUACAAUGGGCGCUACAAAGAGCUGCAGAGCCGUAAGGCCGAGCCAAUCUCAAAAAAGCGUUCUCAGUUCGGAUUGUGGGCUGCAACCCGCCCACAUGAAGUUGGAGUUGCUAGUAAUCCCGGAUCAGCACGCCGGGGUGAAUGCGUUCCCGGGGAUUGUACACACCGCCCGUCAAGCCAUGGGAGCUGGGGGUACUCGAAGUCGGUCACGCCAACCCGCAAGGGAAGCGUCCGCCUAAGGUAAAACCAGUGACUGGGGUUAAGUCGUAACAAGGUAGCCCUACGAGAACGUGGGGCUGGAUCACCUCCUUU
rnacentral:rRNA from 1 species